rnacentral:lncRNA from 1 species
GAUCAUAUGGGUUGAAGUGUUUAUUGUGGACUAGAUCAUAAGGGUUGAAGUGUUUAUUGUGGACUAGAUCAUAUGGGUUGAAGUGUGUUUAUUGUGGACUAGAUCAUAUGGGUUGAAGUGUUUAUUGUGGACUAGAUCAUAUGGGUUGAAGUGUUUAUUGUGGACUAGAUCAUAUGGGUUGAAGUGUUUAUUGUGGACUAGAUCAUAUGGGUUGAAGUGUUUAUUGUGGACUAGAUCAUAUGGGUUGAAGUGUUUAUUGUGGACUAGAUCAUAUGGGUUGAAGUGUUUAUUGUGGACUAGAUCAUAUGGGUUGAAGUGUUUAUUGUGGACUAGAUCAUAUGGGUUGAAGUGUUUAUUGUGGACUAGAUCAUAUGGGUUGAAGUGUUUAUUGUGGACUAGAUCAUAUGGGUUGAAGUGUUUAUUGUGGACUAGAUCAUAUGGGUUGAAGUGUUUAUUGUGGACUAGAUCAUAAAGGUUGAAGUGUUUAUUGUGGACUAGAUCAUAAGGGUUGAAGUGUGUUUAUUGUGGACUAGAUCAUAUGGGUCGAAGUGUGUUUAUUGUGGACUAG